rnacentral:rRNA from 1 species
UACGGGGGGGGUAAGCGUUGUUCGGAAUUACUGGGCGUAAAGGGCUCGUAGGCGGCCAACUAAGUCAGACGUGAAAUCCCUCAGCUUAACUGGGGAACUGCGUCUGAUACUGGAUGGCUUGGAUUUGGGAGAGGGAUGCGGAAUUCCUGGUGUAGCGGUGAAAUGCGCAGAUAUCAGGAGGAACACCGGUGGCGAAGGCGGGUCUCUGGGCCGAUACUGACGCUGAGGAGCGAAAGCGUGGGGAGCGAACAGG